AGGUGGAAUGUGAGCCUGGUGCCAGUGAGAGCCACCUUUUCCACUCCACAGAAAAGAGGACACCAUCAUACAGAAAAACAGAGGAACAAUAUGAAGAAGAAACUGAGGCUCAGAGAGAGGCAGUAACUUCUCAAGGUGACUUAGCUCAUAAGUGAUACAUCAAGGACCCAAUUUCCAGACGGAGACAUAAAGAGAGACAGAGAUGAGAGAGAAAAGCAGCUGGAAACCUAGAAGAGAGAGAAGGAAACCAAGAGGCAGAGAGAAAAGACAAAGCAUGACGGUGGCCUCACUAGGGCUUAUGGAGGAUACAGUGACAAACCGCCAACAUCUGCCCACAAUCUUCGAGGUCCUGCAAGAUCUGCAGGCCCAUUACCUCCCUGACCUCAUCUACCUCCUGCUCUCCUCCUCCUCCACAGCUCCAUCCUCACCGGUC